rnacentral:lncRNA from 1 species
AAGCCAAAACUUUGUAAGAGAACUUUAAGGCUAAAUAUUAAAUAAUGCAUGAUAUGACCCCUUCAACUAGUGAACUACUGAAUAUUUAACACUCUUUCUGUCUCAUUCUCAGAUGCAGAGAGGAAAUCAGACACUAAAAGAGCAACUCUGUGCACUACAGCAACACCACAGAGACACGCACCUGGAAGAGAGUUUGAAACGGCUCCCGGAUGAGGCAGAAGUGAGACUCGGGGAAGUUUAUCUGGAGUCACAGCAGGUAAACAAACCCCACCAACAUCAGUUUAUACACAAGCAAUAUUAAUAGAGACAUUUAAUGAGAGAAUUGUUAUUGUUGAGUAAACUAUCCCUUUCAACUGAAUCCGAAUGCUGUUGUGUUUCCGAUGUGAUCGUCUCCUGUGUUCUAAAAUCCUGAAAUUGAUGCUCAAAAGCAUGUCAGAUUUUAGGAUGCUCCUUCUCUGAUCACAGCCAGUGUUGAAAUCAUGCAAGCUCUCCAGAGAAUGGAAAUUUAUUUUGCCUUGCAAUUUUGCCUUUGAUAUGGUUCCUUCGUUU